AAUGAUAUAGCCUAGUGGUUAGGGUGUAGGGCUACAAUGCAGGCGACCAGUGUUCGAGUCUCUGGUUCGAUG